rnacentral:lncRNA from 1 species
UACAAAGAUGCAGAAUAAAAGGAACCAUAUCAAAUUGGCAAUCCCACCCUUCUUCUGUUUCGUUCGUUUGAGUCUAGAAUAAGACAUCCAUCACAUGGCUUGACAGGACAACAUAUAUAAUGGCUUCUGGCACUUACAGCUCUAUGAGUGGACUUGUUUACCCCUGGGAUGGUAAGUGCCAAUCCACUGGGGGAAGAUUUGGAGAAGAGAGGCCCGUGGGCGUGGGCGGCAGGUAAAGGACAGUCGCUCUCUCUGGCGUUUGAGUUAGGGAGUCAGGCCCUUCAGAUCUGAGUUCCUGAAGUCCAGGGUGUUCUUCCUACUUGAACUGCUGUUUCUGUCUCUGCAGACUGUUGGCAAGGGGUUUCCACACACAUGAAGUGGUCAGGCUCUGCUCUAACCCACAAAUCCCAUGUGCCCAUUGGAGUGCAGUUCAAAGCCAUUUCUUUCUUCCUCUAAUCUCACUCCACACACGUCCUAUUCACAAACGGUAGUUUGAUUACAUCAACGUCAGCUCUAGAAUUUACAACUAAAACCGCUAGUUACUAACUGCCUACCAUAGACGCAGGCAGCGUGUGGGGAUGUCGUCGGCCAGAUGUGUGAACUCGGUAUUCAGUAGGACUAGUCCCUCAUUCUCAGCGCACAUGAAUCCAGCCCCACACCGCAAGGUUUGGAGGGGGUGGGGGCGGGAAUCAGUCUUGAUGAGAAGAGGGAGCUUCAGUCGGGGCAGAGAGAUGGAGGCACGUGAGCGGAGGAGCUGUGCCUAGCCGGCGACUCAUAGAUUGUGCAAUACCCAUGAGCACACGUCUGCGGAGUGAGAAGGCUGACAAUAAGAUAUGAAUUCCUUUCAUAAUCUGAUAGGAUCUGGCAGAUUGUAUGGACAGACCAAAAGAAGACUGUAUUCCUCACAGUUCAGGGAAGAAGAUAUAAUUGCUAAUAUUGCCAAUUGAUACUAAUACUAGUAUCAAUCGGAUGUAAUAAUUGAUAAUGAAAUAUAGUCAACUAAGUACUAAAUUAUUAAAAUUAAUCUACUUAUAUCAGUAUAUAAGCAUACGUGCAUAUACAUGCCUCUAUACAUAUUUAAUGCGAUUGUGCAUUGCUGUGACAUGAGUGUAGGUGCUAUAUCUAAAAUUUCGCAGAACCCUUGACUUGUUUCUGUAUUAUUCAUUGGAAGGAGCGUCAUUCAGAAGCUAUGCUCUAGAGGUGAAACUGUUUCAGAAAUAUCAAUAAUGUGAGGCUCAAUUAUUCAUCCACUAAUUAAUUAUUUAAAGAUGUUAUAUAGUCAUUGAGCUGCACAGCGCACGCAGUUUGCUUAUCCUGUCUCCUAUUGAUCGGGAUGCUUCCAGCUUGUAGUUAUUCUGAACGUCGAGACUGUGUGCAUUCUUCACAGACCUGGGUACAUUUCUUAGUGUGGAAUAUUAAGCCAA